GAUGAACGCUGGCGGCGUGCCUAAUACAUGCAAGUCGAGCGAACGGACGAGAAGCUUGCUUCUUUGACGUUAGCGGCGGACGGGUGAGUAACACGUGGAUAACCUACCUAUAAGACUGGGAUAACUUCGGGAAACCGGAGCUAAUACCGGAUAAUAUUUUGAACCGCAUGGUUCAAAAGUGAAAGACGGUUUUGCUGUCACUUAUAGAUGGAUCCGCGCUGUAUUAGCUAGUUGGUAAGGUAACGGCUUACCAAGGCAACGAUGCAUAGCCGACCUGAGAGGGGGACUCGGCAAAACGGGAACGAGAAAAGGGUCCGGACUCCAAGGGAGGGCGCGGGUGGGAAUACUUCAGAAAGGGGGGAAGGCCUAAGGAGGCAAGGCGGGGGGAUGAAGAAGGGUCUUGGGUUGGAAAAACCUUGUAGUUGGGAAGAAACAAAUGUGUAAGUAACCGUGCACAACUGAAGGGACCCGAAGCAGAAGGCCCCGCUAACCUAGUG
rnacentral:rRNA from 1 species